rnacentral:rRNA from 1 species
GACGAACCGAGCGAACGUUGUUCGGAAUCACUGGGCUUAAAGGGUGCGUAGGCGGGCUGCCAAGUUUGGGGUGAAAUCCUCCGGCUCAACCGGGGAAGUGCCUUGAAUACUGGCGGUCUGGAGGGAGGUAGGGGCGUGCGGAACUAACGGUGGAGCGGUGAAAUGCGUUGAUAUCGUUAGGAACUCCGGUGGCGAAGGCGGCACGCUAGACCUCUUCUGACGCUGAGGCACGAAAGCCAGGGGAGCGAACGGG